rnacentral:lncRNA from 1 species
GCUCCCAUAGGAGUCCGGGCGGAGUCCACCUGCAGUUGGCGUCGGGGGCGAAGUCUGGCUCCCGUAGGAGUCCGGAUGGAGUCUUCCUGCAGCCGGAGUUGGGGACGAGGUCCGGCUCCCGUGGGAGCCUGGGCGAAGUCCACCUGCAAUUAAAGUCAGGGACGGAGUCCGGCUCCCGUAGGAGUCCGGAGAGAGUUUACCAGC